rnacentral:rRNA from 1 species
GACGAAUGCUGGCGGCGUGCCUAAUACAUGCAAGUAGAACGCACAGUUUAUACCGUAGCUUGCUCCACCAUAGACUGUGAGUUGCGAACGGGUGAGUAACGCGUAGGUAACCUGCCUGGUAGCGGGGGAUAACUAUUGGAAACGAUAGCUAAUACCGCAUAAUAUUAAUUAUUGCAUGAUAAUUAAUUGAAAGGUGCAAUUGCACCACUACCAGAUGGACCUGCGUUGUAUUAGCUAGUAGGUGAGGUAACGGCUCACCUAGGCGACGAUACAUAGCCGACCUGAGAGGGUGAUCGGCCACACUGGGACUGAGACACGGCCCAGACUCCUACGGGAGGCAGCAGUAGGGAAUCUUCGGCAAUGGACGAAAGUCUGACCGAGCAACGCCGCGUGAGUGAAGAAGGUUUUCGGAUCGUAAAGCUCUGUUGUAAGAGAAGAACGGGUGUGAGAGUGGAAAGUUCACACUGUGACGGUAUCUUACCAGAAAGGGACGGCUAACUACGUG